AUUGUUGCGGUGAUGAUACUUUUGUGGACUAGAGUUUCUGAUCUUGGGAUUUAUCCCAUUAUUGAAGACAAACCCUUGGCUGUCUGAGCACAUAGU